CUAUUACGCCGUUUGCGUCAACCUUGAAGAAUUUCCGUUUUUAUUCGUUGCCAAAAUUCUUAGAAUAAGUAAUUGCUCGUGUAAUUGUAAAUUUCGGCGUGGUCGUCAAAGAAUGCAGCAAUUGAAACAGUUUUAAGUGCAGUAGUUGUGCAAAUAUUCGAUCGCGUUGAUGCAACGUAAUCUACCGUUAGUCUAAGGAUUCCGUGGAUGGUUAUUAAGGUCAAAGGAAGGAAAUAAUUAUAUCAGAAGGAAAUUAAAGCGUUUGCUCACUUUCAUCGCUUUUUUUUCAAGUUUAUUUGCCCCGUUUUUUCUACAGUUUUAACGUAAUAAGGGUUGUGCUCUUGUAAUACGGAUAUUGGCUUCUUCUCUGUGACUAAAAUGCGUCUGGUUCCUAUUAUAAAAUUGUUUGGAAAAGGCUCACCUGGUUUUAGUGAUGCUUGAUGCUAACAUGCUGUAAAGUGUAGUAAAGUAUAACCCAUGCUUCCGCAAAGUUCGUUAAAUGAAGUUUUUUUGCUGUUCCAAGUGCCAUCACAAAUGGAGGAGGGAUAGUAAACAUUUUAACAAAAUUAGGUUUUAAUCCAAGAUAAUUUUCGUCAGCGCAAGAUGCACUAUAAUGAAGAUACUGAACUAUAAACUUUAAAGCUAUAAGUACGUCUUAUAAUAGUCAAGAUGUAAACUAUACGUUUGAAAAAUGAAAUAGAAAAAUUGAUUAAAGGGAUGCGAAGUUUA